AUGUGGACCUGAGAAUACAAGCAGUUUGAAAAUCAGCAUAAAGCUGGUGAGUUCAUAAGCGGUUUUGUUUUAUGAAAAUGUAUCGGUUUCCUUUAGUUUUCCGAAAAGGUUUGUUAUCCAAGAAAAUCCCAUAUUUUCUUAUAUUGAACAGUUUAGUUAUCUUUCAUUACAGUUCAGUUACGCGUUAUAAGUUAUCCCCAGGAAAAUCCCAUAUUUUCCUAAAUGCAAGAUUGAUUGAAUAACACAGAGUAUAGUUUAAUACACAAAACUAUAUAUUGAAAAUCAUAGGAUUACUAUCCCGAAUUAGAUAUGAA
rnacentral:lncRNA from 1 species